rnacentral:rRNA from 1 species
AACGAACGCUGGCGGCAGGCUUAACACAUGCAAGUCGAACGCAUCGCAAGAUGAGUGGCAGACGGGUGAGUAACGCGUGGGAACAUACCCUUUUCUACGGAAUAGCUCUGGGAAACUGGAAUUAAUACCGUAUACGCCCUACGGGGGAAAGAUUUAUCGGGGAAGGAUUGGCCCGCGUUGGAUUAGCUAGUUGGUGGGGUAAAGGCCUACCAAGGCGACGAUCCAUAGCUGGUCUGAGAGGAUGAUCAGCCACAUUGGGACUGAGACACGGCCCAACCUCCUCCGGGAGGCAGCAGUGGGGAAUAUUGGACAAUGGGCGCAAGCUUGAUCCAGCCUUGCCGCGUGAGUGAUGAAGGCCUUAGGGUUGUAAAGCUCUUUCACCGAUGAAGAUAAUGACGGUAGUCGGAGAAGAAGCCCCGGCUAACUUCGUGCCAGCCGCCGCCGUAA